rnacentral:rRNA from 1 species
AAUGAACGCUGGCGGUAUGCCUAACACAUGCAAGUCGAACGACCGGACGAGAAGCUCUCUCUUUUGCUGUUAGCGGCGGACGGACGAGUGACGCAUGGAUCAGCUACUUCUUAUACUGGGGUAAUAACGGAAAACCACAGAUACUACCACCUAAUACUAUGUACCGCUUAGAUCAAAAGUGCUAGACAGUCUUCCCGUUUCUAUUAGACGGAUCCGGGCUGCAUUAGCUAGUUGGUAAGGUAACGGCUUACCAAGGCAACGAUGCAUAGCCGACCUGAGAGGAUGAUCGGCCACACUGGAACUGAGACACGGUCCAGACUCCUACGGGAGGCAGCAGUAGGGAAUCUUGCGCAAUGGGCGAAAGCCUGACGGAGCAACGCCGCGUGGGUGAUGAAGGUCUUCGGAUCGUAAAACUCUGUUGUUAGGAAAGAACAUAUGUGGAUGUAUCUGCGGAUAUUGUGACGGUACCUAAACAGUAAGCCCCGGCUAACUUCGUG